GGCUUUCUGGAGGAAAAGGAAGUGAAGAAGGCGGAGAAUGGGAAGAAGCAAGAGGAAAAGGAAAGGCAGAGCAAGGAGGCUGAAUCCCAGAAUCACCUCUGUUCUUUGGUUGCUGCUGCUGGAGUGCAGUCCCCCAGCACCAUAAGGCUAGCCAGAUGGGCUCUUUGGCUGCAAGCCCAGAGAUCCCAUAAGAAACCAGAGGCUUUGAGGAAGCCUAAGGGUUCUGGAAAGCUGUCUGCAGGAGGUGAUUCUGGUUCUGAGCCUUGAAGAAAGCCUGCUGUGGAAGAGUAUGCCAGACAGAGACAUAGGAGAGAAUGUUCCCAAGAUGUCUUCACAUUCACCCAAUCCUUCUAACUUCAAUGCACCUUUUGAAAAUUUUCUUUAAAACAACAACAGACUUCAUCAGGCCUCUUG
rnacentral:lncRNA from 1 species